rnacentral:rRNA from 1 species
GGGAUAACAGUUAGAAAUGACUGCUAAUACCGCAUAAGACCACAGCACCGCAUGGUGCAGAGGUAAAAACUCCGGUGGUAUGAGAUGGACCCGCGUCUGAUUAGCUGGUUGGUGGGGUAACGGCCUACCAAGGCGACGAUCAGUAGCCGGCCUGAGAGGGCGACCGGCCACAUUGGGACUGAGACACGGCCCAAACUCCUACGGGAGGCAGCAGUGGGGAAUAUUGCACAAUGGGGGAAACCCUGAUGCAGCGACGCCGCGUGAAGGAAGAAGUAUUUCGGUAUGUAAACUUCUAUCAGCAGGGAAGAAAAUGACGGUACCUGACUAAGAAGCCCCGGCUAACUACGUGCCAGCAGCCGCGGUAAUACGUAGGGGGCAAGCGUUAUCCGGAUUUACUGGGUGUAAAGGGAGCGUAGACGGAGAGGCAAGUCUGAUGUGAAAACCCGGGGCUCAACCCCGGGACUGCAUUGGAAACUGUUUUUCUAGAGUGUCGGAGAGGUAAGCGGAAUUCCUAGUGUAGCGGUGAAAUGCGUAGAUAUUAGGAGGAACACCAGUGGCGAAGGCGGCUUACUGGACGAUGACUGACGUUGAGGCUCGAAAGCGUGGGGAGCAAACAGGAUUAGAUACCCUGGUAGUCCACGCCGUAAACGAUGACUACUAGGUGUCGGGUGGCAAAGCCAUUCGGUGCCGCAG